GACAGUCGUUCAAGUUCAAUUCAUACAGCUAACCUGGCUAUUGUUAUCAGUCUGUAUUAGUAGUUUGGACAUGAAUAAGAAUUCUUUUUUAAACCUUUGAUGGACGUGUAGUGAUGAAAAGUAUUGUGUUCAAUAUAUUUUGAUUAAAGAUUCCUGGUUGAUUCCAAAUCCUUACAUUUUAGUAAUGAUAAAUUCUGAUUUUUGAUAAAUUUUUUUUUUUUUUUUUUUGUAAAUUUACAGUUCAUUAUUGAUUCGAUCUCAUGGGAUAUAUGGGGAGAAGCUGUAGAAAGAGAUGCAGAAGAUAAAAGAGAGAUUUGGAGCUGCCGUGUCUCCUGUCACCAGCACGUGCUCGCCUCCCACCCAUCAAAGAUGUAGAAAUUGUCGGUUUAGUCAACUAAUUAAGUGCCUGAGUGAAGUGGUCCUUCGUUCUGUGAAGAAUCGAGGGUUCAGAGGUGGUGGUAAGGUUCCGCGAGCAGUCGUGGAAUGCCGAGUUACGAGCGAUUUGUAUCAGGGGUUUUCGGAUCUCAGGGUUUUGUUUUGUUUGAUUAAUUUGUUUGUGCGGCGGUGGCUCCGGAGACGGUGGUUUCUCCGUCUAAUGUGAUGGCUUCAUAUCAGGGGAGAUAAUGGCAGUCGGAGUUGAUCUUCAGCCGGCGGCUUUAUUCCGACGAGUAGUAGCAACGUACAUGGUGGUUUCGCAGCGACUGUAACGACGUGGGGCAGAAUUGAUGGCGAUUUUGGGGUACCGUCUCCUUUUAGCUGAUGCUAUGUCCACGAUUGUUGUUCAUUACAAAUUGAGAAGAAGAUAUUUUUUGGAAUGUUCAGAAGGUGUUGUAUAAGUACUUUUGUUUAUUUUUUGCCAUUUGACCAAGACCAUCUUUUGCCCAGUCACUUCUCUAACUGUAAAGACAAACAUAAAGAUUAUGUUUAUAUAAUUGGAGGAGACGAUACUCAAACAGGAGCAGCGGUUAUUUAUCAAGAAAUGAGAAGGCGUGGGCUUAAGGCUGUAGUUGUUGGGAUUCCUAAGACAAUUGAUAAUGACAUUCUGGUACUCGCAUUCCUACAAAUGGUAUUUUUCUGAAUUAGGUGUAUUUCAUCUUGGCCAUGCGUUAAACACGUGUGAACUUAACAUUAUCAUAAUUACGUUGGUUAUUUGGCUCACGCGUUAUGUUAUUCACCAUUCAUUACCUUUCUUAAAUGCUUUUCUGUUUCCUUUUCAAAUAAUAAAGGUGGCUAUUUCGACCUACCUGCCUGAAAUUUUGGGUCGACUUGGGUUUUAUCUUAUCCUGAACCGUUCAAAUGGUAGAAAUAAAAAGAUAUCGAGUCUUAACGGGUCAAAAGAUUUCCUAUGUGUUAUUAUUUAUUGGUAUAGUUUUUCAAGAAAACAUUAUUUAGAAAAAAAAAAGUGUUGAUGGAUCAAUCCUAAUAGACCCAUCACCAUUUUUUCCACCUAUACUAGAGCCAUUUGGGUGGCAUACUUGACAGGUCGGACCUUUAGGUGAGGUGGUAACAAGUUCAUGUGUUGGGUUACGUUGACCCACCAAUACUUCUAUUGUCUAUUUUUUUCAUUUUGUAGAUUAUUAAGACGUUACAAACUUUCUAAAAGUAAUGAUCCCCUUUUUACAUAAAUUAAUUUAGGAGGUUUUUAGCACUAGAGUAUGCUUUGUGUUAUGUAUUCUGUUGACAUUUUUAACUUUAUCCUUUUGGCCCUUUCAAUCGAAUUCAACUAUUGUUAUUGUUAAGAAUUAUUAGUGUGUUAAAUUGGUAAAAGAUAUUGUGUUACUUCAGCAGCUAUAAUCAAUAACAAAACCUAAAAGAUUUGGAGAUACAUAAGCUGGAAUAAUAUGAAAUUUUGGGAGGGGUUGUAGCCGGUGCGCAGGGGAUGGAUGGUGAAUGAAAGGUAUUGUUACUUCAUUAUGUGUCGGGUUGGGUUUUUUGUAAGGCCUUUGAGAACCCGGGUCUGGUCUGAUAGAGGCGGUCGGUGCACAUAUUGGUUUUCUUAAUACCCGGUUCUGGGUAUGGAACCGGGUUUGGGUAUGAUUGAGUAUUAAGAAAUCAGGUAUCGGGAGAAAUUGUUUCGGGUAUGGGUAUGAUCAGGUUUCGGAACUGGGUAUUAAUAGCCGGUUUAAAAGACAAGCAUGCAGUUCUAAAUUGUCAAAGCAUUUGAACAAAUCUCUUAAAAGAAUGAACAAGCUAUAAAUGAUACUCGAAGGAGGUUUGAAGUGGAAAAACAGGAAUGCAUAAGUCUUAGGACGGAAGCUCGAAGGAGGUUUGAAGUGGAAAAACAGGAAUGCAUAAAUCCUAGGACGGAAAAAGGUUAGAUGUUUAUUAUAUGAUUAUAUCUAGGCCAUGUAUUCCAAAAAUAUCAAGGUUUGCGUGGGGUUUUGUAACACGGAUAAUCAUUCUGGUUGGCCUGAUUAUUUAUACUUAUAGAGUAUGAAUGUACGGUUGAAACUGAUGCCAUAUUGACAGAUUUAUGAUAUACAAGAAUGCAUAGCAGAUGCAUUCUUGAUAUUUUUGAAUGUUCUCACCCUUUUAAGUGUAGAAAAAUGAAAACAAAGAUAACCAAUUGGAAUCAGCAGAUGCAUCCUUUAGUAUACAAGCAUGCAGAUUGUUGUUUA